GUCCUGAUGUUCCCUGGUCUAUUUCCCACAGUGAGUUGGUGAAGGAGCAGCAGGCUGAUAAGUCCCUGGGGGCUUUGCUGGAGAUGGCUCUUCCUGUUGUUUGGUGUUGCAGGUUUCCCAUGAUGAGUCCGGUCAUUUGGGCGUCAGGAAGACGUACGACCAUAUUUUGAGGAUAUCUGUUGCUGAGGAUGGAGUGGAGAGGCGGUGGGCUGAUGUGGCCACGUAAGCGGUGAGGUGUUUUUUUUUUCUUUAGCAUUAUAUUAUGUGAUUACAAUAUUGGUAUGUUUUAUAUUUAAUUGUUUUAAGAGGUGGCUGACUGGGCGCCAGGGUUCCC